CAUAAUUAGAAAAGUAUCACCAUUUUCCUGGGACAAAAAUAUGUAAGUUUAAACAUUUUUAGUGCCAGGUCAGUAGUCACGAUUUACCAACAGCAUUUUUUAUUUUAAAAAUACAGUUAGUGACUACACCAUUGGCUAACAAACUGAGACUUAAAGCAUUCUCUAGAUGCAAAUGCUACAAAUAAAUCAAAUUAUUAGGCAUAUUCACUAAUACUUACAAACUUAACUUCAUAUAUAAAGCAAGGUAGAUCACCAGUGUGGCCAUGCAAACAGGGUUUGAGGACUUCAAUAUUUAAAGCAAGUUAGUCCAACCCACAGCCCAAGGGCCACAUGCAGCCCAGGAUGGCUUUGAAUGAGGCCCAACACAAAUUAGCAAAUUACUAAACUUACUUAAAAUGAUGGGAUUUUAUUUUUUGCCAUUUUUUGGUUUGUGUGUUUGGUUUUUAGCUCAUCAGCUUUGUUAGUGUUAGUGUAUUUUAUGUGUGGCCCAAGACAAUACUUCCAAUGUGGCCCAGGGAAGCCAAAAGAUUGGACACUCCUGAUUUAAAGGGAAAAGGGAGGGCAGAUGAAGAAAGAGGAUAAAAAAAAGAGAGAGAAGGUAGACAAAACAGGAAAGUGGUUAGUCUUUGGAGGCUUUGAUUAGCACUUACUGAAUCUACAUUUUACAUGUGAAAGGAGUGGGUAGCGAAACAGUGAAUUAUGCAUAGUGCUCAGUGCGUCUGCAUUUUUGCAUAAGAUAAAGUAAACAUAGAGGAGGUGCUCAAAUAUGCAUUCCUCUCAGGUGAGCCAAGGGAUGCCCUCUAGGCCUGUCUUUGUCAAGGUACCGGUGAAGAUAAGCUGUUAGUUUACAUUGUCAAGGUGAAAUAGAACAGCGUUCUGUUUUAGGGUAAAGCUCUUGGGGCCCACGAGGAAUUUCCUUGUGAGCAAUUUGUGAAGGAGGCCACCGGGGGAGACAUGUGGCCUUCUGUCUUUGCAGCUAUCUACUUAGGAACAAAAUGGAAGGCAGUUUUUGCAUGAUGCAGUUACUGAGCUUCACUUUUCCCUUUGGCAUAGUGAGUUUGGGGUCCUGAGAUUUUUAUAUUCCUUUCACAGCCUCACUAUACUUGAAUUAAAAUACAAUCUACAUGUUAAAACUGACCACAUCAUUCUUUCCUGUGUGUCUUCAAAGGAUUUAAGGCCCAUCCAGAUAAUCCAAGAUGAUCUCAUUUCAAAGCCUUAAUUAUAUCUUUGAUGACUCUUUUUCCAAAUAAGGUCUCAAUUAGAGGUUCCUGGAAUAAGACACGGACUCAUCUCCCUGGGGGCCACCAUUCAGCCUGAUCCGGAAGGAAGGCCAUGAUUUCAGCUCUCUGGGAUUUGAGACAAAGAGGCCCCUUUUCUUUCAUUUUAUCUUUUCAUGUCUCUUCUUGCCAUGUACCCACAUGAUUGAGUGUGGGCUGAGGGUGAAUCCAAGAAGGGCUUUGUUUUGUGGUCAGUACAGGCUUUGGUCCACAGAGACAACAAUACUUUCAAUACUCUUUUGUUCUGCCCCAGAGGAGCUCAACACAGAAUUGCCUAGAACAAGAAACUGGUGAGAGAAGCUGCAGCCUGUUGAGACUCCACAAGACUGAAGAUAUGAAAAGAGGAAAUAUGCAUGAAUGCCCGCACGGAGAACCACCCCCACCUGCUGCUCCCGCUCUAAUGAUCACGCCCAUUAUCAACUGGGGGAUGGCUCUGUGCCUUGUCCUUGCAUUACAUGGACCAAGAACACUUCACAGGACUCAGAGAGGCAAAAAUAGAUACAAAAGAAGAAGGAAUUACAGAAGAAGUCACAUAACAUUAUUGCCUACAACUGACUGUUUACCUUGAAUACUUGAAGACCAGAAUGAAGAUUCUUGGGGUGAAGAAUUACAGCCUUAGCAUGGAGCAGGCCUCGGUGCAUCGGCUUUCAGCUAGGCAUGCCUGCCAAUGUUCAACGUCCUCCUGGGAUACGGAAGGCACCGUGAUAGACAUCUGGGCAAGUCAACAGGAAGGUGGAUAUCCAAAUCUCUCUCUUCGCAAUGAGUUUCCAGUUAGAUGGAGGAGAGAGUAAUAAAACACAGAGCUGAGAUUCCUGACUUCACAGAUCCCUGAGGAGAUGUUUACUAAAGGGAAUCUUCUGGUCACUGUUACCUUCCUCCGUACUUACCUGCCUCAUGGAUAACACUGAAGAAUGCAGUUUACUUACAUCUUUUUCUGUUUGACAGAAGACAGUUAUUAGUUACCCUUGGGACAUCAAAAUGACCAAGGCAGUGUCUGCUAAGUAUUUGCUGAGACUCUGCUAUGAUUCUUUCAAGUCUAAAGACAGUUAUCUGAAUGAUAUCCCCGUGACAGUGGACUCCUGCACAUUCACAGUCCUGGAAGGAGCCUGUCCACAUUGGCAUUCUGGAAGUCCAUAAAAGACAAACGCAUAUGCAGUCCCCGAGAAAGCAUUGUUGUAAACAAAUCUGCACUAGAUGGAAACUCUGUUAUGUGGUGCCGGCAUGCAUGGAAGAGAACCCGAAAGGAAGAAGCUAUACGACUGGGGACACAUGUCUUAGAAGCACACUCAUUAGAUAAAGUGUCGCAUACUCUUUGAUAAGACAACCCUUACAAGAUUUUUGCCCAGCGAAAGUGGCACGUGGAACAUGGAAUGACAUUUCAUAAAGAUAAAUCCAGAGAUUAGUGCUGAAGACUACACCCCUGUGUAGUCCCACACAGGCUACCCCAGACCAGCCUGGCGGGCUCUGCACUAGGCCUCCCAUCAGGCGAGAGCCAACGCUCCUCAGCCCGGCUCCACCUCAUUCAGAAGAAAGUGUGUCUCCCGG
rnacentral:lncRNA from 10 species